GUUCAUGACCGAGUUGAAGAGGGCUUCGAGGUCCGUGUCGAGGUCCUGCGUGACGUGGAUCACUUGCUGCCCGGGCGGCGGGAGCGGCGGGGGCGCCGAGGCCGGAUUCAUCUUCUGCAAGGAGAAAGGAGGAGGGAAAAGAAUCUGAAGAUAUUUGAAAAGAGACUUAAAACUAAAAUGCCAAAGGAAAAGUGAAUGAGAAGAUUCCUGAGAUGUAGCUUACCAUCUUACUAAAAAAUUACUAAAAAUACUGUAACUAGUGUCUAUGAAAGUGUCGGUCAAGGCUCUUCCUGGUACAGAUGGCACGGCCAGGAGUUCAGCGUCGGAGAUGAUCAUAUAAUUCAGUCUGGCUAGUUGGCAUUGCGUCUAUAAAAAUAAAACUAGUUAAUGGUUUCAAGGAAAAACGCUUCUCGAGUUUUAGUCGCUCACUUCUCUUGUAACUGUUGAAAGACUGCCUUAUUCAAAAAAAAAAAAAAAACCAGACUGCCUUAUUCAAUUAAAUAUGGCGUCUUGUUCCUUUCAGUGAGGAAGGACAGAGUUCUCUGAUGCUGAUUUAAAUACCCCUGGGUGAGAAAUCUCUCUUCUCUCUGCCCUGCGGACGGGUGCACUGAAGUGCGCAAGGGCUGGUGCUCGUUGCUUCACGUCACAAGCCUGCGUCUCAGUUAGAAGUGAUGGAUCCCGUGCUUCGAACAGUUAUCACCAACAGAGGGGGAACUGUCUGAUGAAUUCUCUGACAACUCUGGAGCAAUAGUUACAUCGAUUCCUCCACAUAAGUUCUCUUAGACGCUCUGCUCACAAAAAACCUCACAUGGGUUUCAAAGCUUUUUGUGUGAGUGUUUGAACACCCCCACAAAGAGACUUCCGAGAAAGAAGCCUCAGUCUGUUUAGCUGGAAGGACCGACGUAAUCUGGCGGUAAGUCUCAUCCUUGCUAAUGGAUCCUCCCUUAGACUCUCUGGGCAGCUUGGCCAAAGGCGUUUGGAAGCCGAACUUCACAGCCUCCACCGCAGGCCGCUGGCACGCGAGAGACCCAGCCCGCUCUUCCUCCCGUCAGCGAAGGCCUUUGCACAGUCUCCGGUUUUACCUUCACUCAGCCUUUUCUAUUUCCCCACAGCCUGAAGCGGGGGGAGGUUUGUAGGAGAGUCAAUAAGAACCCCACAUGUCGGUGUUUUCCUACCCAGACUUAUUUGCUUGCAAGGGAACCUCCCCAGUGGCCACCACAUCCCCCCCGAGGAAGAUGCCCACUCAGUUUACUCCUGUGCUCCAUGAAGCUGCAGCUUGGGCCGCAUCAUGAGCGGGUCUGGGAACAAGACUGCUCUUUCUGUCCGUUGUCACACAUCCGUCUGAACUCAAAAGGGCCUCCCUUAAACCAGGAAUUUCUAUUCUUCUGGAAACGUCUUUCUUUUGCAUUUGCAGUGCUGUGGUUUAAAGGUGACAAACAGAGUGCCUACCACUAAAGUCCAGCUGGCAGGCGGGAGGGACCCAGAGAGGAAGGCCUGGAAAACUUGGAAGGUGAGCCUGUGCUUCUGCAAACACACAGACUGGAGCUCUGUUUCCUUGGUACAAGUUCUAGAAGACACAGACACAUCCUGUAACUCCUCUGCAGAGCUGAAUUACAGUAAAUGGGCCAGCACAGGUACCUGUACUUAUGAGGUAGGUGUCUGUUUAACCUUCCGUGUUCAAACUCUCCAUCAAGAAAAAGAAAAAUUAAGAAAGAAGACGGUUACUUGGAAAAGAACUAGCAAGCAUGGUUCGUGGGUCAGUUCAGAUCCACCAGGAAGCAGAGGCCACCGAGAUGGAAUUAGGUGAGCAGGAGAUGUACUGAAGGAAAUGCCUGUACAGAAUAGAGGGCAGAGAGAAGAGGAGGCCGGGAGAGUCUUCGCAUUGCAGUGCUGGUGUGAGCCCUGGGCAAGGAGGAUGGGGUAGGAAGAGCCUCCGAGAGCGGGGCGGCUCUGAGACAGUCCUGGCCAGCCUGAUGGGGAAGUCCACGGCAGUCGCUGACGGACAGAGGUGUCCUGGGAGGGGCGAGGAUGGCUCAGCUUUCGCAGCCAGCUCUGCGCCAUCCCUGGUGGCCUUCCGUGUGAAGUGUGCAGUAGCUCCCAGACACAGCACCUGCGGCCGCCAGCCCACUGCUCUCCUCACGGUGGGUUCAUUCCUGGAGGGAGCCCUAAGCAUGAACCCACAUGGUUCCCACCGCAGUCUACACAGACUGCAGCACGGAGACUGACUUCUCCAUCCCUUUUCAGGGUGUGGUUCUUCCAGGCUUCCAGUGGACUUCUCCUCCUGAGGGGGACCUUAGAAGAGGAAGGUGAGGAACACAAACCACAGCCCCUGUUGCUGCAGUUGGUCUUGAGGCCACAACUUGUGUUUAUCUUCUCUCUCCUCCACUAUCCACUCUUGAGUCUCCACAUGCGAUGCUGUCACCGUGCAGGUGUGGACGGCUUGCUUCCCUGGUGGUGCAUCUCAGCUUCAUUCCAGAGGGGCCCAGGCCCUUGGAAUCAUACCCUUCAGACUGGGGCUGCUGUGUAUGUCCAUCCACAGUUAGAACUGGGAGAGAGAAUCCCCGGAGGUACGGAGGGGAUCGCCUGGACGUGCACAUUUCCUCCCUGCCUGCCUGCCCUGCUUGUGCAAGAGCAGCCUUAGCUCCUCCCGCUGCUCAGGGUCGCUGAUUCCAGCCAGAACGAUGACGACUCGUCUCGCCUGUUGGUCCCUGGACACAGGAGUCUGGAGUGCCUACUCAGCAUUCAUAGAUUAUACUUCAGUGGUACUGUUGUAUGUCCCCUAGCAAAAGUGCACUCCCUUUGGGCACCUGAACUUCUACCCCUGCAAAGCCCAAAGUUGUAAGGUUGGGAAGCACAAAGAUCCCCCAUGAGUCACUGCGAGUGAUGUUAAGUGGGCCCACUCUUGCUUCCACCCCUUUGUUCUUGGACCCGUGCAUUCUUCCUAUGAGUGACAUAACAUCUGAA